UUUUAGCCCAGAUUGAAGCGGCAUCCUUUUAUAAAUUUGUAUUUAGCUAUUUGCUAAAUACAAAUUUAUAAAAGAUAUAGCGGAAAGCUGGAUUGGCU
rnacentral:sRNA from 1 species